UACGUAGGGUGCAAGCGUUGUCCGGAAUUAUUGGGCGUAAAGAGCUCGUAGGCGGUUUGUCGCGUCUGCUGUGAAAACCCGAGGCUCAACCUCGGGCCUGCAGUGGGUACGGGCAGACUAGAGUGCGGUAGGGGAGAUUGGAAUUCCUGGUGUAGCGGUGGAAUGCGCAGAUAUCAGGAGGAACACCAAUGGAGAAGGCAGAUCUCUGGGCCGUAACUGACGCUGAGGAGCGAAAGCGUGGGGAGCGAACAGG
rnacentral:rRNA from 1 species